AUGUGUUGCAACUACUACGGCAACUCCUGUGGCUAUGGCUCCAGCUAUGGCUGUGGCUAUGGCUCCAGCUAUGGCUGUGGCUAUGGCUCUGGCUCUGGCUGUGGCUAUGGAACUGGCUACGGCUGUGGGUAUGGCUGUGGGUUUGGCUCCCAUUAUGGCUGUGGUUAUGGAACUAGCUAUGGCUGUGGAUAUGACUCUGGCUCUGGCUACUAUGGCUACUGGCCAUUUUGCUUUAGGAGAUGCUAUUCUUCCUGCUAA
rnacentral:lncRNA from 1 species